UAUUAUAAUUAAUGUUAAAGGAUUACUGGAGUAGUAAGAGAUGCUCUUGAAACUCAAAGGAUUUGGCGGUGUUUUAGUCCUUUCAGGGGAAUUUGUUCUUUAAUUGAUUAUACACAAUUUGUUUUACUUAAUUAAGUUAUCAACUUGUAUACCGCCGUCAUAAGAUUAUUUUUAAUUGAGGAUUAAAUUUUCUUAUAUUUAUAUUAAAAGAUAUGUCAGGUCAAGGUGCAGUUUAUGAUUAAGGUAUGAAUGAAUUACAAUGAUUUUAAUUUAUUACGGAUAAUUAUUAUAAGUUUAAUUUGAAGGUGGAUUUGAUUGUAAAUUUAUUUUUAAUUUUUUUAUUGAUUAGGGCUCUAAAAUGUGUACAUAUCGCCCGUCGCUCUCAUAAUUAUAUAUGAG
rnacentral:rRNA from 1 species